UACGGGGGGGGUAAGCGUUGUUCGGAAUUACUGGGCGUAAAGGGCUCGUAGGCGGCCAACUAAGUCAGACGUGAAAUCCCUCAGCUUAACCGGGGAACUGCGUCUGAUACUGGAUGGCUUGAGUUUGGGAGAGGGAUGCGGAAUUCCAGGUGUAGCGGUGAAAUGCGUAGAUAUCUGGAGGAACACCGGUGGCGAAGGCGGCAUCCUGGACCAACACUGACGCUGAGUGAGCGAAAGCCAGGGGAGCAAACGGG
rnacentral:rRNA from 1 species